CUACGUGCCAGCAGCCGCGGUAAUACGUAGGUCCCGAGCGUUGUCCGGAUUUAUUGGGCGUAAAGCGAGCGCAGGCGGUUUGAUAAGUCUGAAGUUAAAGGCUGUGGCUCAACCAUAGUUCGCUUUGGAAACUGUCAAACUUGAGUGCAGAAGGGGAGAGUGGAAUUCCAUGUGUAGCGGUGAAAUGCGUAGAUAUAUGGAGGAACACCGGUGGCGAAAGCGGCUCUCUGGUCUGUAACUGACGCUGAGGCUCGAAAGCGUGGGGAGCGAACAGGAUUAGAUACCCUGGUAGUCCACGCCGUAAACGAUGAGUGCUAGGUGUUGGAUCCUUUCCGGGAUUCAGUGCCGCAGCUAACGCAUUAAGCACUCCGCCUGGGGAGUACGACCGCAAGGUUGAAACUCAAAGGAAUUGACGGGGGCCCGCACAAGCGGUGGAGCAUGUGGUUUAAUUCGAAGCAACGCGAAGAACCUUACCAGGUCUUGACAUCCCGAUGCUAUUUCUAGAGAUAGAAAGUUACUUCGGUAC
rnacentral:rRNA from 1 species